UGAAGAUACGACACUCCAAAUCCUAUGGGAUGAAGCAAAAGCUGUUCUAAGUGGAAAGUUUAUAGCAAUACAUGCCCACUUCAGGAGAUACCCUAGAAUUUAAACAUACCUGCUUGACUUAGGAAAAUGCAAUACAAUCUUGCAGGUGAAGUUGGUUUCCCAGGAGGCAGGGUCUGAGAGGAAGAGUAGUGUUCAGGAAGUCUUUUGAGGGGAGUUGCUCUUGGGCUUAUCACCAGUGGAAAGGAAGUAAAGGAAGCAAGGUUGGCAGGGAGAGAAUUUACAAUUACAGUGAAGGCCACCCAAGGGGACCUCUGAAGCUGGAUGGCUCUUCAGAGUUGGUGAUACCUUCACUUCUGGCAUGUACAAGAAGAAAAUGUCUUUCCAGGAAGGCCUGCUGAGGCUCUUUAUGCUUACAUUGAGCCAUUCGAAGAGCAAGACUCUGAACUCUCCUGGCUACACACAGAGGCACAUUGGAAACACAAUAGAAAACGGCUGCCAAUUUAAAAGCAGAAGUUAAGAAGAGCAAACCCAAACAUACGGCAAGAGAGCUUCAAGCUGGACCAGCUCCCAGAAGAAGUGAGCCCUAAAGUCUUGGAUUCUGUUGCAUCUCCUCUCCUCUGUGAAGUGGCAGAAGAUGUCGGCACCUGGGCUUGAACUUGGUCAUUACUGCUUAUUUCCCAGCAUUUUCCAAGCAUCCUAGCUCCUUGGAGUUGUAGUUUUAUCAUCUGUGAAUUGGGAAAUGAAGGUUCUUUACGCUGAGGUCUGAAUGAGACGUGUACAGAAGCACCAAGCAUGGUUCCCGGCGUAUAGUGUUUGUUCAAUGAAUAUGAACUAGCGUGACUAGGACCCCUGCUUGCUUCUUGCCCCUUCUGGUGACUAGUCGUGUGCUCUGGGCUCCCUGAGACAGGGCAAUUUUCCCCAAGUGGGCAUUAAAGCCAUGUCUGUCUGUAUAGUCUUGUUCCUUAGGUUUUUUUUGUGCCACCUGCUCCCU